CAUGGGUGGUCUGCUCAUCACUUAGAAUGACACUUGUUUUAGAUGCUCCUCGCUGGGAAUCAGGUCAAUGGAAAAAUGAUGUGCUGGAUGAAACAGGACGCUGACAAGCCUGGAGCAUGUCUCAGUGGAAGAAAAGGAGCUAAUAAUUAUAAGCACUCUCAUUAUUUAGAAAGUACACUACUCAAAAUGAAUUCAGCUUUCUGAUGACAAGUGAUUUCUCUCACCCCAAGGAGCAUUUCAAAGCAUCCACACAACCAUCUGCAUGAACCCCAGGAGGCGAAGGUAUGGGACCCUCCUUCCAGCUGUGGUGCAGUGAUCCAUCUGUCUGAGCACAUUUCCAUUUAUCCUCCAGGAAGAGAAUGCGCCACCCUCAGGCCUCCCUGAACUGUGAUUUCAGCUGCAAGAGACAGAACAAGGACUGAACAGGGAACUGGGUGAAAUAAAGUCAAUCUAAAUUUGUGGGUUAAUACCUGCAAGGCAUGCCAAUAUUGAUGUGCCAGACAGCCCUUUCCAUCAAAGUGCAGAAUGUGGAUCUGUGAAAGGAGUACAGAGAGCUGCAGAAAAAUCUGAGCUCAGAAACCUGGUGAUACUUCCAGUGGAAAGAUUUCCUUCCGUCCAGCUUCAGCACAGACAGCUUCAGGGACACCUGAAUAUCAGUGGCAGGUUCUGUGAGCACUUGAAAGCCUGAGCUGACGUCUGAAGGCAGAACUGAAGUUAGGGUUCCCGAUACCUUUCUAGUAGGGAGUUCUGAAUCUGAAAGAUACAGUGGCUUCAGAUCCUACUGCAGAACUGGUCCUCUGUGCACCACAGCAGAUUCAGUGCGAAGUGAAUUACAACAAUGUUUAUCUGAUUUUCAGUCUGUAAAAUAAAGCAUGCAUAACCUGGGAGAGCUAUUGCUUAGGGCAGUUAGCCAUGCUUACGACUUCUACCAGGUACUGUGGUAGAUCAAAUACAGAGGGUGAACAUGACAUUCCGAUAAGGCUUUGAACUAUAUGCUGUAGCUUAUAAAUUUCAAUGCCAUGGAGCAUGUUUCGGUGCUGUUGCAUACUGAUGCAGUGCUGUGCAGGCAUCACGGAUUAUUUUGCUGAAGUAUAACAGAAUCGUAAGAACAAGCUAGGGUAUAAUGCCUUUGAUUCAUGAAUAGUUUUGCUGGAAUAAAGCUGCUUCAUAUCAAACACAAUAUUUAGAAAACAAUACCUACGAUUUCUUGGAACGG
ensembl:lncRNA